UGGACUACUCCUCUUUUGAAGAGUCUAGUCAGAGUGAAGAUUUAGAUGAAGAUACCACAAGUAAUACAGUCAGAAUUGAUGAAGGAGCAAGCUCGCAUAAACAACCUAUGUUCAUGGUAUUUUACAUCUCAUUGGUUGAGUUAUUUGAAAAAUUUUGCUUUAACUGCAAGGCUGAAAAUCCAAAAGUACACAUUAAAAACAUUGGUUCGAUGGCCAUUGUAGAG